CAGUAGCCACGGUAAUACGGAGGGUGCAAGCGUUAAUCGGAAUUACUGGGCGUAAAGCGUGCGUAGGCGGUUCGUUAAGUCUGUUGUGAAAGCCCCGGGCUCAACCUGGGAAUGGCAAUGGAUACUGGCGAGCUAGAGUGUGUCAGAGGAUGGUGGAAUUCCCGGUGUAGCGGUGAAAUGCGUAGAGAUCGGGAGGAACAUCGGUGGCGAAGGCGGCCAUCUGGGACAACACUGACGCUGAGGCACGAAAGCGUGGGGAGCAAACAGGAUUAGAUACCCGUGUAGUCCCUGUCUCUUAUAC
rnacentral:rRNA from 1 species